GGGCUCAUAGCUUAGCCGGUAAAGCACUCGGCUCUUAACCGAGUGAUCGUGGGUUCGAUCCCCACUGAGCCCG
rnacentral:tRNA from 1 species